UGAGUAAUCCCUUGCUAGGUUCAGGCUAU
rnacentral:piRNA from 1 species